GGGGAUGGGCCCCCUCAGGACCACCUAGGGCUUCUGGAACUCUCCCCUCGGGGGGUUCAGGCUCACGGGUCUCUGGCUGCUGCAAAGGGGGUCGGUCAGCUCCUGGAAGCCCCGCGGGCCAACUCUGCGCCAGGAGCGCCGGGGAUCUGCAGUCCCCCCGCACCCAAGGCUACCUGAGCUAGUCUGCUUGAAACAGGCAAAAGUUGGUUUUUAUUUAUUUAUUUUUUGAAUCCUCCUUCUCCACCUCCGCUGGUAGGCAGUCCUUCUACCUCCUACAGUGGCAGCAUCACCUCGUAAGCUCCUCGAUGUCUCAGAACACAUCACCUGAACGUCUCCGCAGUGGGAAACCACGAAGGAGCGUUGGGAGGGGAUUGCGGGGAAACCCAAGUGGGGAACUAAUAAAACUCUUGUUAGAGGGCCUGCUCGGGAUCCGUGGCGUCACUGGGCCUUUUGCUCGGAAAGCCAAAGAGUUGUAUUCCUAAAUGAGUUAAAGACCCAUUUACCUCUGUCGUGUUCUAUUCAUCAAGCCCCAAGUUGAGAGUUCCUAACAUGAAACUAUUUGUUUGCUUACACAACCAGCUGGGCGCAAUUUCACGUCUGAGAUAUCUAUCUGAAAGCGCCCCUCAUUUAUUAUCUCUCCUUGUCAGCGAAUCCAUUUUCCAGCUCCCCCUCCCCCCUUGGACUUUAUUUAUUUAUUUAGGGGGUGGUGGUGGGGGGGCACUCCUCUGCCUGGAGGACCUGGGUCUGGAAGGCUCCCAGGGGACUGGCCGCUCCUACCCGGUGUCUGCGUGGAGCAGGGGCGCGGAAGGCUCGUCCGCCGCCACCGCUGACCCCGGCGGCCGGCGGGUGGGCCCGCCUGGAGACGACAGAGCUGCCUUUCUGCCUGGAUGUCCUCCCCGCUAGCUCGUCCCAGAGUCAGCCACAACCACCUGUGCGAGGCAGGGGUGGGCGGAGGCCGGCCCGGGGAGUUCACGAGCCUCUCUCCCGGAGUGGGGGGCCCGAGAUACGAGAUACGAUCCGGAUUUGAGAGAUGCUUUACUCAAAGCCUCACCUAGUCCCGUGGGGCCAAUUUCUUCUCCGGGGGCCCGGAGCGCGGAUUACUCUCUUCUACUGAUGUGAAGUGACGUCAGCAAGGCCUGUCCUAUCCCCUUGGAGAGAAGGGAGUGAGGAGGAGGGGAUGGAAGGAGGGAGCUGGGAGAAAGAGCUAAAGAAAAAGAGAAAAAGCAAACCGGACGAACAGAGGACCGCAUGGGAAUGAGUCUUCUACACUCGGGGGCCCCAGUUCCACCAACAGUGGGCAAAACAAUGCUUGCGAAGUCGGGGGUUGGUAGAACACCUUUCUCUCCUCUCCCGCGAUCUACAUAUUCUAACAUAUGGAAAGCUUACAGGCCCCGAGCACUUAUAGAAGCCGAUAAUGCAUUAGCUCUCAGCAAUAUUUACAGCACCACUUUUAAUACACACCAGAUGGUUCGCGACUGUGCCGCCCCAGCCAGCUCACUCCUCGAUUUUACUCGGCGGCACUUUGUUGCAAUUACGCUCCAUGCUGAGACCAAUUUUAUUGGUGACCUAUUUUUCAUAUUUUGUAGCAUUUUAUGUUAAAAAAAAAAAAAAAAAAAACCUCCUCUCUGGCCUUUUUGUAAAGGGCAGCGCGCAGGAAGGGAGAGCUUAGGAGGACGGCGGGACUGUCUAGGUGGAUAUUAAUAUUUAUCAUGAUGUUCCAUACCUCGGGUUUAAGUGAGUCAACCGGAUAGACAUAAGUACUCCGGUCAUUAUGUUUGUUCACUCACCCCCCUGUUUGUCAGACGCCCACGGACUGUCUACACGGCGCGCUUGCCUCCGAGUCAAUACAUCCGACCAUAAAUAUUGUAUUCCAUUAAUUAUCACGCCACUGGCUGAUCCCGGGCGCCGGCGUCCUCGAGCGACGCAGGGCAAAUGAGGACGCUUCCUGAACAGAUUUCUAGGCUGGGAACCCCGCGGAAAUUGCCGCAGAGCCUGGGAAUUCCUAGAGCCCGAGCGCCCGGCUCGACUCGGGCUGGGCCCGGACCGGCUGGCGGGGGAGGGAGGCGGCUGCGGAGGCCCGACGCCGCCAGGAGGGCUCAGUACCUGUUAUCUUGCCACGCAGAAGGCCACAGGGAGAAUCCCAUUUGGCACGCCGGGAAAGGCUUUCAACUUUAUCUCCCGUCAUGUAAAUAUCCCCAAGUGCCCGACUGUGAACUUUGUUUUGCACCGAACAAUAUAAAUAUCCUAUUUGCUACCACACAGGUGUGCGCUUCCUAGUCGAACUCUUUUUUUUUUUUUCCCUCCCUCGUUUGUAGUAACUCUAUAUACCCCCCAUCCCCUGGUUUAAAGAAGAAAAAAAAAAAAAUCACAGAUGUUUACUUUAUGGGUAUAACCUAUACCAUGGUUAGGCUGAGAAUAAUAUGCCUCAACUCACAGUCAUUUAGCAAAUAAUAGAGGCGUUCUGGAUGCUUUCCAACGUUACACAUGUACUUGGUCAUAAAAUGAUACGUGAAAAAAUUAACAUCUGCUUUCCUAAAAUAAAGUGUGCCAAGUAGCUUUUUAUGAAUGCGUUCCUCAUUUUAAAAAGAAAUAUGGAGAGAUAAACUGGCACCCAGAUGUAUAGCAUAUUUAUAAUUGUUUUCGGAUUUAAAGGUAGUGUAUUCAUUGCACAAGGCAUUUUAAAACUGAUGGUUUAAAAAGCUACUUAACCCCAGACAUCUUUGCAUCCUGAAGAGUCUUUCACAUUUUAUUAUUUAAAGAGGAAUUUGUCAUUGUGUAUCAAGGCAGAACUCCGGCAAGUCGGGGCACUGCAGCCUGAACUCAACAGAAAUUCCAACUCGCCUUUUAUUUACCUAAUUUCUCAGCAAGGUUCCCAGGCCCUUAAGAAGGCAGAGCUGGAAAGUUUAGUUGGGCUCUUUUUUGUUGUUGUUUAAUUCCACUAUUAGGAAAUGAGGCCUACCUUUGAAUUAUUUCAUUAGGGUUUGGCCUUUUGGGGGAAGGGGUGGGAACCAUAAUCAUUAGUGGCUUUUUAUUAUUUCUACAAUAAAUGGCUAGAUUCUUUGUUGAAUAAGCUGCUUGAAUGUUUUGCAGAUGUUCCACUUAGACCAAAUCUGACCCCCUAUUUCCUCCCAAAUAAGUCGCUUAAACUCUCCCACCGCUCGGGAGCAUACUCCCCCAUCCUGGCAACUUUAUAAGUGCGGGGCAUAUUCUUAUGAAAUUUCCACCUAACUGCACACACACAUACAUUUACACACACACACACUCCCACCCACUGAGCCUCUGAGCGUGGAAGAGGGUAAGACAAGAGAAAAGAAAAAAAAAAGACGAGAAACUGGUGAGGCGGAUGGGGUGGAGGAGGGAAGUCAGCACAGUGGUUACAGCCCUGUGAGGAGCGCGCCCGCCCUGGGCCCCUCACCCCCUCUUUGUGCCACGGGUUUGAAACAUGGGGGGUGACCCCGGUCCGAGGGCCCCAAAGUGCCAGGAAUCUUGAUCUGCCCGGCGCCUGGGGCGUCAGCCUGGGGCCGACCCCGCGGUCACCCCCCGCCAUCCCACCCCGAGCAUCCUUCCCGCGGCGGCGGCCCGUGGGUACCCAGGCCGAACAAAGGGCUCCGUGGGGCGC
ensembl:lncRNA